CCUUUUGAUUAUAUAUUUAGGUCUAAUCUGCCCACUGGGUAAUUAAAUGGCCGCGGUAUUUUGACCGUGCGAAGGUAGCAUAAUCAUUAGUUUUUUAAUUGAAAGCUGGAAUGAAAGAUUGAAUGAGAAAAUAACUGUCUCAAAUUAAUUUAAUUAGAAAUUUAUUUUUAAGUCAAAAAGCUUAAAUAUAAUUAAAAGACGAGAAGACCCUAUAGAGUUUAAUAGUUAAUUUUUUUUUAAAUAAAUUGUUUAUAUGAAUUUAAUUAGGAUUAAUUAUUUUGUUGGGGUGACAAAAAAAUUUAAUAAACUUUUUUUAUAUUAUAAUACUUAUAUGUAAAUUUUUGAUCCAAUAAUUUUGAUUAAAAGAUUAAAUUACCUUAGGGAUAACAGCGUAAUUUUUUUUGAGAGUUCUUAUCGAAAAAAAAGAUUGCGACCUCGAUGUUGGAUUAAAAUUAAGUUUUGGUGUAGAAGCUAAAAUUUUAGGUCUGUUCGACCUUUAAAACUUU
rnacentral:rRNA from 1 species